GGAAAUACUCAUGACGAACGAAAUACUGAAAAGACGAUAAGGCGAAGUAGGCGAUGAUUGGGAGGAGAUUCGGCGCAUCACUCUUCCUCAGAUUCAGAAUCCGCGCUCUGGAGCCACUCCACGAACGGCUUGGCAUUCUUCACCACCUGGGACUCCUUGCCACCAGCAACAGAUUCAUUAUACCACUGAGUUAUCACUUCUUCAUCC
rnacentral:misc_RNA from 1 species